GAUACGGCAAGCCCAAGGGCCCAACUGCAGAAAGUCAAACUUGGAGCCUUUGGGCAGGUUUAGUAACUGUUUGAAGAGCCGCCAGAGCCCGAUCUGUCUUCUGAAGUGUUGAAGAGGGGGCGGGGCUGGGUUUCAUUUCAUGCCUUGGCCCCGGAGGGUUGGAAAUGUGGGGGGGUUUGAGGGGGGGUUUGCAAAUGAGGCUCCAGUCCUUAAAAGGGCUUUCUGAUUAAGUAAAAAAUAUUUUUAUUUUUUAUUUUGGACUCUGCCUUUCUGUGAUAAAACCAAACUCAUGAUGGUUUUAGAAACACACACACACACACACAUGUAUCUUAAUCUUUAAAAAAAUGUCCUGUAAAGCCCCCCAGAGCUCACCUGCACUUACUCUAGGGUCAGGGUGCAUCAUAGGAUUGCUGUAUUGGGCUUACCUGGAACUAAGUUUCAUUAAACUCGACACAUAUUUAGAGUUGAAUUAGAUACAGUACAUAUGUAUGAAAGUGUUCAUCAGGGCAUAUACAGAGCACACAAAUCCAAAUGCCACAGGGUUAAAUGAAUCCAUAGGUCUUCUAAGGUGUCCGCAAUUAUUUUUUAAAAAACAAAAUUAUUUAUUUUACAUAUUUUCCUGCUCGUGAUAAAACCUUGCAAGCGGCUUGCAAGAAAUAUUAACAUUAUUGGUUUGAAAAAAACUGGUUUAAAACCUUUAACAUAAUUAAACCCUAUAAAAAUUAUAUAUAUCUAGAUGCAGAAUAAAAAAAAUGUCUGCAGCAGUGCAGAUACAGUAUUUGUCAUUUUUGAGGUUAGUAAGUAAUAGGAAAGCAGUGCAUCAAGUAAGCAAUGGAACAAAUAAUAAUUUACUGCCCCACAAAAGACCCCCCAUAAAAUAAAAUUAUUUUUUGUUUUGUUUGUUAGCAACCUACCCAACAGUGCAUCUGCCAGAACAACAUUUUCAGCAAAACUCUUUGUUACAAGUGGGAGACAAAGAAGAUAAGGCCAGAAGAUAAUGGGGGUGUUGUGUCUGUUAUCCUUAUUGGGAAACGGCCCGAAGUCACCAUCAGAUCAAAAGUGUCCAGAUCAAUAGAAGACAAUAUAUCUGGCAGAUGGAGCCCUACACAGAUGCAGAGUGGAGCCCCUAAGAUGGUUGGGUGGCAUUUUGUAGGCCUCCUUCUGGCAAAAGACAGGGC